rnacentral:rRNA from 1 species
CCUACGGGAGGCUGCAGUGGGGAAUAUUGGACAAUGUGGGCAACCCUGAUCCAGCCAUGCCGCGUGUGUGAAGAAGGCCCUCGGGUUGUAAAGCACUUUCAGUGAGGAAGAACGCCUGGUGGUUAAUACCCAUCAGGAAAGACAUCACUCACAGAAGAAGCACCGGCUAACUCCGUGCCAGCAGCCGCGGUAAUACGGAGGGUGCGAGCGUUAAUCGGAAUUACUGGGCGUAAAGCGCGCGUAGGUGGCUUGAUAAGCCGGUUGUGAAAGCCCCGGGCUCAACCUGGGAACGGCAUCCGGAACUGUCAAGCUAGAGUGCAGGAGAGGAAGGUAGAAUUCCCGGUGUAGCGGUGAAAUGCGUAGAGAUCGGGAGGAAUACCAGUGGCGAAGGCGGCCUUCUGGACUGACACUGACACUGAGGUGCGAAAGCGUGGGUAGCAAACAGGAUUAGAUACCCUUGUAGUC